AUAAUGUUGAAAAUAUAUGUGAGUUAUGUCACAUGUCCGUUCUCUGAAUGGAGAAUUCUUAUCUAUAUUUAAUUUUCCCACCACUAACUUCCGGAUAAUAAAAAGAAAGAAAACGAUUGAUUGGACUGUUAAGGUGUUGAGUCAAUGCAUAAUUAAGGCCGCUCACUGUUAAAUUAGGAUCGCAAUUGAACCCGUUUCACAUAAAGAUUAACACUUUUAGGAUACUACAUCAUCAGAUCACUUAUACGAAUAUUAAUAUAUGACAGUUAUUUCCCAAUACUAAGACUAAAAUAAAUCAGAUGGUGUAGGGAGAUAUAGUAAUUGGGAUGGCUAAAUAGGGUUGUGAAUUAAUAAAACUGGUGUUCAACUGGCAUGAUAUUUAUCACUUCUGAUGCCAACAUUGAUAAGUGAUAUCUUGAAAUAUCCCUACAUAUAUUGAUUAAAUAUGACUUAGGAUAGAUUCAUGACUUUGCACUUUCAUGUGGACCAAUAGACCAUAUUUUGAAAUCCUCUUUAGUCAAAUGUUAUAUGAUGGUCACAGUUGGAAUGAAUCUUAGGGGUAGAACAGAAGCCCUUACCAUCUGCCUUGGCGUGCCAUGUAAUCAAAUCCCUAGUGUCUAGUCUUUUAAAGCUACUGCUAUACGCCUUUAUCCACACACAUACAAUGAGGUGUGUUCCUACGGCAAAGAAAAUCCCCUUUAAAUAAAAAAGAUUCACAAGACGCCCUUAUCAUACCGCAAACCAAAGACUUCACUGUGGAGUAAAAGGUUUUAACAUUUGCCCUGUUGUGAGUAAUGAAGGACAUUUCCGCUAAACCACGAUGCACAAUUUGAUCAGAAUGUUCGGUCGGCUAGCUUGAACUUUGCCUCAGGAUGUAGGAGAAGUCCCACUUCCUCGUUCGUGGAGAAUUGACAAUAACACAAUCCUGACCGACGCCUCCAUGGACUGAAUGGCCAUUAUUCAUUGAAAGGUUCAUCCUCACUGCGGUUGUCAUUCGCACCGUCAUCAAUGUCACAUCUCAUCUUGUGCUGCUGAACUUGAAGAAACAGAAGGACUCUUCCUGCUGGAGGUUUCACAAAGGGAAACCCAUCAAGCUAGCAAUGUAGAGUUAAAAAUGUAAUACCACUCCAGUCCUUAAAAGAGAUGCGUCAUUUACAGCACAAUAAAUCCACAAGUUAGUUUUCUGUUGAGAUAUGUGCUAGAUAUAUUGCACACUGAGAUUUCUGUAGGCCUAUGAAUUUCCAUGGACGUUUCAUCCUUUGUUUCUUCAUGUCUGGACAGGAAUUGAAAUGUUUGAAAUUGUUAGUUUUAUUUAUUGUUUCUAACAUUAUUUUCUAACAUUUCCCACAUACUACUAGGGAACAUUUUAUUUGUGUCCGUUGCAAUGUGUUGGAGAUGAAACAUCUUUUUAAAGACUGCUCCUGUGUGAGAACAUUGCAGAGCUGAAUGUUUGUCUUCUGGGAGCAUAGCACGGUAAAUUGGUUGUCUUUACAAGGGCACAAAGGAUUCUAGAUGAUUCUACUCCAAAAUCGGAUUCCUCUGUAGCCUUUAAAACAAACGGAAAACCGGUUCUGUGACAUUCUCCAAGUAACAGAGUGGGGUUAUGAAAUUAGAAAAUAGUUUUUAUUCCUAGUUUUUUUAACUUAACUGCUGUACAGCUCAAGAACUGUAUCUCAAAAGUUUAUUUUUUUUAUCAUUUGCCCCAGGAAAAUAUAAUCCAAUGGCUGGUAAAUUAUCGAUGAGGAUAGCAUUUUCAAUGAGAAACCAAACAGGAUUAUUUUAUUUCUAAACUCAUAUCUAUACAUGUGGGGAGGGGGCCUACAUCAGAUAUUGUAUAUGAAUGCAGCCUUUAAACUUGCUGUUAAAGAGACUCUGUCACACUUUAUCUAUCAGCUAUUUUGAAAAC
ensembl:lncRNA